UGGGGAAUAUUGCACAAUGGGGGAAACCCUGAUGCAGCGACGCCGCGUGAACGAAGAAGGUAUUCGUAUCGUAAAGUUCUGUCCUAUGGGAAGAUAAUGACAGUACCAUAGAAGAAAGCUCCGGCUAAAUACGUGCCAGCAGCCGCGGUAAUACGUAUGGAGCGAGCGUUGUCCGGAAUUAUUGGGCGUAAAGGGUACGCAGGCGGUUUAAUAAGUCGAAUGUUAAAGAUCGGGGCUCAACCCCGCAAAGCAUUGGAAACUGAUAAACUUGAGUAUUGGAGAGGAAAGUGGAAUUCCUAGUGUAGUGGUGAAAUACGUAGAUAUUAGGAGGAAUACCAGUAGCGAAGGCGACUUUCUGGACACAAACUGACGCUGAGGUACGAAAGCGUGGGGAGCAAACAGG
rnacentral:rRNA from 1 species